UGGGGAAUCUUGCGCAAUGGGCGAAAGCCUGACGCAGCGACGCCGCGUGCGGGAGGAAGCUCUUCGGGGUGUAAACCGCUGUCAGGGGGGAAGAAAAGUCACACGAGGAAAUGCGUGUGAAUUGACGGUACCUCCAGAGGAAGCACCGGCUAACUCUGUGCCAGCAGCCGCGGUAAUACAGAGGGUGCGAGCGUUGUUCGGAAUUACUGGGCGUAAAGCGCGCGCAGGCGGCCCUUUAAGCCCGUCGGUCAAAUGCCGGGGCUCAACCCCGAGCGUGCCGAGGAUACUGGAGGGCUGGAGACACGUAGAGGCAAGCGGAAUUCCGGGUGUAGCGGUGGAAUGCGUAGAGAUCCGGAAGAACACCGGAGGCGAAGGCGGCUUGCUGGGCGUGAUCUGACGCUGAGGCGCGAAAGCGUGGGGAGCGAACAGGAUUAGAUACCCUGGUAGUCCACGCCGUAAACGAUGGGCACUAGACGCUGGCGGGAUCGACCCCGUCGGUGUCGCAGCUAACG
rnacentral:rRNA from 1 species